GGCUACACACGUGCUACAAUGGGUAGAACAGAGAGUUGCAAAGCUGUGAAGUGGAGCUAAUCUCAGAAAACUAUUCUUAGUUCGGAUUGUACUCUGCAACUCGAGUACAUGAAGUUGGAAUCGCUAGUAAUCGCGAAUCAGCAAUGUCGCGGUGAAUACGUUCUCGGGUCUUGUACACACCGCCCGUCACACCACGAGAGUUGGUUGCACCUGAAGUAGCAGGCUUAACCGUAAGGAGAGAUGCUCCGAGGGUGUGAUUAGCGAUUGGGGUGAAGUCGUAACAAGGUAUCCGUACGGGAACGU
rnacentral:rRNA from 1 species